rnacentral:sRNA from 1 species
UUUCCGGGACGUUCGGAGGGUGGCCUCUCUCCCACCGGGUUCCGCAUACCCCAGGCCCCGGCCCGCAUCCAAGUGUCAGGUUGGAGCCGGGAAGCGGCCCUGGUGGUAGUGGCGGCGGGGGCAGGAUGAGCGCGGAGGCGGCGGACCGGGAGGCGGCCACCUCCAGCCGGCCCUGCACCCCGCCGCAGACCUGCUGGUUUGAGUUUCUGCUGGAGGAGUCACUGUUGGAGAAACAUCUGCGCAAGCCCUGCCCGGAUCCUGCACCAGUUCAACUUAUAGUUCAGUUUUUGGAACAGGCUUCCAAACCUUCAGUUAAUGAACAAAACCAAGUUCAACCUCCGCCUGAUAACAAGAGAAAUCGUAUUUUAAAACUACUUGCUCUUAAAGUUGCUGCACAUUUGAAGUGGGACUUAGACAUAUUAGAGAAAAGUUUGUCUGUUCCAGUAUUGAAUAUGCUACUAAAUGAACUACUCUGCAUCAGUAAAGUUCCUCCUGGGACAAAGCAUGUAGACAUGGAUCUGGCCACUUUACCUCCGACCACUGCCAUGGCUGUACUUCUCUAUAAUAGAUGGGCAAUUAGGACAAUUGUUCAAAGUAGUUUUCCAGUCAAACAGGCAAAACCCGGACCCCCUCAGUUAAGUGUUAUGAAUCAAAUGCAACAGGAAAAAGAGCUAACAGAAAACAUUUUGAAAGUGCUCAAAGAACAAGCUGCUGAUUCUAUUUUGGUACUAGAAGCAGCCCUAAAAUUAAACAAGGAUCUUUAUGUCCAUACGAUGAGAACCCUAGAUUUAUUGGCCAUGGAACCAGGCAUGGUAAAUGGAGAAACUGAGAGUUCUGCUGCUGGAUUGAAAGUCAAAACCGAAGAAAUGCAGUGCCAGGUGUGCUAUGAUUUGGGCGCAGCAUACUUCCAGCAAGGCUCCACAAAUUCAGCUGUCUAUGAAAAUGCCAGGGAAAAAUUUUUUAGAACCAAAGAACUAAUUGCAGAGAUAGGUUCAUUAUCUCUUCAUUGUACCAUAGAUGAGAAGCGGUUAGCUGGCUAUUGUCAAGCAUGUGAUGUUCUUGUACCUUCUUCUGAUAGUACAUCUCAACAGUUGACUCCAUAUAGUCAAGUCCAUAUUUGUUUGAGAUCUGGCAACUAUCAGGAGGUAAUACAGAUUUUCAUUGAAGACAACUUAACCUUGAGUUUACCUGUCCAGUUCCGACAGUCAGUCCUAAGAGAACUCUUUAAGAAAGCUCAACAGGGAAAUGAAGCUCUAGAUGAAAUCUGUUUUAAAGUUUGUGCCUGUAAUACAGUCCGUGAUAUACUGGAAGGCAGAACAAUUAGUGUUCAAUUUAACCAGCUAUUUCUUAGACCAAAUAAAGAGAAAAUAGACUUUCUUCUUGAGGUAUGUUCAAGAUCAGUAAAUUUAGAAAAAGCUUCAGAGUCUUUGAAAGGAAACAUGGCUGCUUUUCUAAAGAAUGUGUGUCUGGGGUUGGAAGAUCUGCAGUAUGUUUUCAUGAUUUCUUCACAUGAGCUUUUCAUUACAUUGUUGAAAGAUGAAGAACGAAAGCUACUUGUUGAUCAGAUGAGGAAGAGAUCCCCUAGAGUAAAUCUGUGCAUUAAACCUGUAACUUCAUUUUAUGAUAUCCCAGCUUCAGCAAGUGUCAACAUUGGUCAGUUAGAGCAUCAACUUAUAUUGUCAGUGGAUCCUUGGAGGAUUAGACAAAUUUUAAUUGAAUUACAUGGUAUGACUUCAGAGCGCCAGUUCUGGACAGUGUCUAAUAAGUGGGAAGUACCUUCUGUCUAUAGUGGUGUUAUCCUGGGAAUUAAAGACAAUUUAACAAGAGAUUUGGUUUAUAUUCUUAUGGCCAAAGGUUUGCACUGCAGUACUGUUAAGGACUUUUCCCAUGCUAAACAGCUCUUUGCUGCUUGUUUGGAGUUGGUAACAGAGUUCUCACCGAAGCUUCGUCAGGUCAUGCUGAAUGAGAUGUUGCUUUUGGAUAUUCAUACACAUGAAGCUGGGACAGGGCAGGCAGGAGAGAGACCGCCAUCCGACCUUAUAAGUAGAGUACGAGGCUAUCUGGAAAUGAGGCUUCCUGAUAUUCCUCUUCGUCAAGUUAUAGCUGAGGAAUGUGUUGCCUUUAUGUUAAACUGGAGAGAAAAUGAAUACCUUACACUCCAAGUUCCUGCAUUUUUGCUUCAGAGUAAUCCAUAUGUAAAGGUAGUUAAUGUUUAAAUAAAAGGAUUGUUAGGAUGGUAUUAUUAUACUUGUUUCUUUAACUUUAUACUACUUUGGGAACUUGUCUAAUUUCUGUGAUACAAAUGAUUGGACAAAUGCUUGUUGAUUUGUAGUUAAAGGAUAGUUUUUGAUAAUUCAUGCACUUGACCUUGUUCUAAUAUUUCUUUCUAAUGCCCUGUAAUUCAUGAGCAUGUAGUCACAGAUUAUUUAGUUAACAGAUAACACAUUGGUGUAAUCCUAAGUAAUGAGGGAUUCGCUUUCUUUGCUUUGGUUGCUCUAAUCACACUCUAGAACUGAUGGAGUCCGUCAGGGAUGCACUUCUCCUUGUUUCCAUUUGAACACUUUAUUCUUCUUUAGAAUUUUAUCCUUCUAAGUUUGCUAUGUCUGAAUCUCCAAUAGGUUUGCUAUUAGUAAUUAUUCCCCUAGUGAAAGAAUUUAUUCAGUAAAUUGGCACUAAGUUAUUUUGUUGUCUUAAUUAUAUCCUUUGCAACCUAAAAUGCUUCUGAGUACAGAAAAUAUCAAAACUAAUAAGAAACUGGAGGUUUUUUCUAAGAUUAUAUCUUUCAUGUGUUAAUAUUAUACACACUCUGAGUAAGUAGUGGGUUUUUCUCACUUUCUGGUUUUACAGUUAAAAAAAAAACAAAGUAGGCUGGGCGCAGUGGCUCACGCCUGUAAUCCCAGCACUUUGGGAGGCC